rnacentral:rRNA from 1 species
AUUGAACGCUGGCGGCAGGCCUAACACAUGCAAGUCGAGCGGAUGAAGGGAGCUGCUCCUGGAUUCAGCGGCGGACGGGUGAGUAAUGCCUAGGAAUCUGCCUGGUAGUGGGGGAUAACGUCCGGAAACGGGCGCUAAUACCGCAUACGUCCUGAGGGAGAAAGUGGGGGAUCUUCGGACCCCACGCUAUCAGAUGAGCCUAGGUCGGAUUAGCUAGUUGGUGGGGUAAAGGCCUACCAAGGCGACGAUCCGUAACUGGUCUGAGAGGAUGAUCAGUCACACUGGAACUGAGACACGGUCCAGACUCCUACGGGAGGCAGCAGUGGGGAAUAUUGGACAAUGGGCGAAAGCCUGAUCCAGCCAUGCCGCGUGUGUGAAGAAGGUCUUCGGAUUGUAAAGCACUUUAAGUUGGGAGGAAGGGCAGUAAGUUAAUACCUUGCUGUUUUGACGUUACCAACAGAAUAAGCACCGGCUAACUUCGUG